GAAGGUAUAGCUCAGUGUCAGAGCACGUGUUUAGCAUGCAUGAGGUCCUGGGCUCAAUCCCCAGUACCUCCA
rfam:Camelus ferus unplaced genomic scaffold scaffold1710, whole genome shotgun sequence.